UACGUAGGGUGCGAGCGUUGUCCGGAAUUACUGGGCGUAAAGAGCUCGUAGGUGGUUUGUCGCGUUGUCCGUGAAAACUCACAACUCAAUUGUGGGCGUGCGGGCGAUACGGGGCAGACUGGAGUACUGCAGGGGAGACUGGAAUUCCUGGUGUAGCGGUGGAAUGCGCCAGAUAUCAGGAGGAACACCGGUGGCGAAGGCGGAUCUCUGGGCCAUUACUGACGCUGAGGAGCGAAAGCAUGGGGAGCGAACAGG
rnacentral:rRNA from 1 species